GACGGAGGAUGCAAGCGUUAUCCGGAAUGAUUGGGCGUAAAGCGUCCGCAGGUGGCAGUUCAAGUCUGCUGUCAAAGACCGGGGCUUAACUUCGGAAAGGCAGUGGAAACUGAACAGCUAGAGUAUGGUAGGGGCAGAGGGAAUUCCUGGUGUAGCGGGUGAAAUGCGUAGAGAUCAGGAAGAACAUCGGUGGCGAAGGCGCUCUGCUGAGCA
rnacentral:rRNA from 1 species